GGUGGGUUGGCUCAGCGGUUAGAGCGUCGCCGUCGGUCUCGUAACCGAAAGGUUGCGGGAUUGAAUCCCGCUAGAGGCUG
rnacentral:tRNA from 1 species